UCGCUCCACUGCUGGUGCAAUGCUCUGGGUGGUGGGGCUGUGAGCUCCUGGGGCAGUGCAGCUGCAGAGCCCGGCCUGACCCAGUGCUCUGUGCUGCGUGAUGGUGGCAGCAGCAGCGUGGCGGGCAGCGCGGCUGUAAUGUUGCCAGCUACCAGUGCUCCAGGAAGCGCGCACGCCUAGAUCUUGCUCUCUUCCAGUAUGAUUCCACCAGCUCCCUGAACUUCAGAAAUCUUUUAAGCAGAAGAUGGGCUAUCCUGACGCCAUUCAGUAUGCCAAACUCCACGUGAUGCUUCAACAGCAGGAAAGGGAAAUUUGAAACACCUGUUGAGAAGGACUCAGUUGUGAGUUGUUGCUUAGCAACCCUCAGCAGGAAAAUACUUGGCUAAUAUGUUCAGAACUUAGGGGAAGAUGGGGUUUUGCCUAAAAGUGUUGUUUACAUUAGAAAGUGAGGACAAAAAUGCUUUUUGAAAAUUA